rnacentral:rRNA from 1 species
UACGUAGGUGACAAGCGUUGUCCGGAUUUACUGGGCGUAAAGAGCGCGCAGGCGGUCGAUCAAGUCGAGUGUGAAAGCCCCCGGCUCAACUGGGGAGGGUCAUUCGAUACUGAUCGACUCGAAGGCAGGAGAGGGUAGUGGAAUUCCCGGUGUAGUGGUGAAAUGCGUAGAUAUCAGGAGGAACACCAACGGCGAAGGCAGCCCGCUGGGACGGUACUGACGCUAAGGCGCGAAAGCGUGGGGAGCGAACAGG